CCUGUUCAGAGAAGCAAAAAGGUAUCAUUCCAUCCUUAGCUCCUUUCAGAAGUUGGCGAGUCCUAGGCUAAGUAUAGUGCAGUGAGGUCUUAUCAGCCCAGGGAGCAUGGACUCUGCUGCCACUUGCUCUGCUUCUCUAAUCCUUGUCUGAAGUGCUUACCUUGAAGAGUGUUCAAUAUUCCAUGUUUCUGGCUUUUCCUGCAUAUGUCUCCAAAAUCUAUAUCUUCCUGUGAUCUCUGUCCUAAGUUCUAAGCCUGCUUCUCCAUCAUUUCUGUCUUUGGAUCCUUUUUCUAAGUCCUGUUCUUUCUGAGCACACCCUCUGACUCUUCUCCAUACUGCUGCUGAGGAAAGUCCUUGAAAACAAGAACAGAGUUUUGUUUCAGGAUGUGGCUGAGGCAGGGGUGUGAGGGCUGAGCGGGAACCACGACAGUUCUCCAGAGGGGGUGUCUGGGCACACGAGGGCUUUUUUAUCUGGCUACAUGGUGGCAUGGAACUUAGAAUCCUGCAUAGUCCUACAGUUAGGAUGUUGAGGGGUCUGGGUUGCCACAUGGCUGUCUCCCCUGCUCACAUCACCCUGCUCUUUGGGGCAUGGGGAAGCGGUUUGCUGUGUCUAGCCAGUGAAAUCUUGGCUAGCCAUAGAGUUACCUGAGCAUGUUAACCAGGCCCUGCUCAUUGCCACCUGGGUGACACGUAGCACCAGCCUUGGGGUGCAGCCAACUUCCCAGCUGUGUGAUCCUAGGCAGGGCACAGGUCUGCCAGCCCUGGUUUCCUCAUCUUUUAAAUGCAGAGCUUGAUGAAUAGUUCAGUGAAUGUUUGUGUCCUUUGGCUUCUUUUAAUCCUGUUUAACGGUCACUUCUUCCCUCUUUUGGCUGUAACAGUGAUUGCUAUUCAGCUUUGCAUUCAAAGAAGCUGCCCUUCUAGACUAGGUGUCUUGAGGAUUCAUGUUAGAGGCUGUCUCCUUGGCUCACAGAAGUUAGUCACAUGCUGGUGUUCAGAGGCCCUCAGUGAUGGAUCAGGUUCCUGUCUCUGUCUCUACCUGCCCAGCUCUGAGCUGUUGUUCUGUGAUACCAUGCGCCUGGCCUCUUUGCUCCUUCCCUUUUCCUAGCCUGGCUCAUUCAAAAGUCAGCAACGGCACUGUUUUCUCUCUGGGGGUGAGAACCUCUCAGGUGCUUCUGUAGUGCCUUUAUUCCACACUCCGCAUUUAUGAUGUGACAUUGACUUAAUAGUGUGUCAUUAUUCCCUGUCACAAGUUAGGGGUAGAUGCCAGGUGUGAGAAAUAAAUGCUUUGGAACGCCUAUAUAGUAUGGACUGACUUUGCCAGGGCUAUGGCAGCCCCAGGAUUUGCUGUUGAGUUCCUCCUCACAGUGGUCCUGAGAUUGGGGGUUCCUCCUCACUCUGCCACUGACAGAAGGCUGAGGUGGAAAUAAGAAGGAUUUGCCUGGGUCACCUGGGCAAAGAAAGACUGGAGCAAGGUCAUGAUUAUAACCUUAGGCUACAUGUUCUAUUAAUUAAUGUUUAUUUAGUGAUUUUUAAAAAAUACCUGGCUCUUACACAUAGCAGGUCUCCAGUAAUGUGGAAUUAAUAAAAUGCUAAGUGGAAAAUUUGUGAACAAAUUGGUAUCUUAUUUGCAUUGAGAUUAUUAAUAAUCGUUUCAUAGGGAGCUGAAUUCUCAAGAUUGUCAAGGGGUUUUUUGGAAAGUUUUGAGAGAGAGAGUUUUUAUUUUAUAAUUUCUCCAAAGAACCACUACCAUUUUCUUUCAAAUGUUUCAUUGGUACUAAGAGAUAAUUAAUGAAGAAGCAAUAAUAUAUUGUUCCUAUUUGACAACUAAAGAAAGUAUAUUCCAAAUUUGGUUAUUUGAAAUUUAUUUUGGGUGCGGAUGUCUAGAAUAGAUUCUUUCAUAGGUUUGCAUGAAAAAUAUAAUAGGCAUGCUGACGUGGUGUCCACAACCAGAAAAUAUAAGUUUGGGAUUAGCUUAAUGGUUGGGGUGGAAGGAAUAGAUCCAGGAACUGAUAGCCUUUUCCCUCUGGCUGGGCCCUGGCCAUUCUAGAAGCUGCAGGCAGGAAUUUCUUAAGAAAGAAUAACAUCAGGUCCUUGUUUGUUUUCGGAUUUGGGAUGAUUUGGUGUACUUGUGCAUAAACCCCCAAUUUGAAUAUUCAUUGAAAUUUUUUUAAAUUA